rnacentral:ncRNA from 1 species
GGGCAAGAUAGGUGAAGUUAGCUAACCAGCAAGCUGGCUAUCAAACUUCACAAGCCUUAUUCGCACCUACGGUGCUCAACGGUAUCUUGCUUUUUGAGAUC